AUUGAACGCUGGCGGCAGGCUUAACACAUGCAAGUCGAGCGAGCGGCGGACGGGUGAGUAAUGUCUGGGAAACUGCCUGAUGGAGGGGGAUAACUACUGGAAACGGUAGCUAAUACCGCAUACCAUCAGAUGUGCCCAGAUGGGAUUAGCUUGUUGGGGGGGUAAUGGCUCACCAAGGCGACGAUCCCUAGCUGGUCUGAGAGGAUGACCAGCCACACUGGAACUGAGACACGGUCCAGACUCCUACGGGAGGCAGCAGUGGGGAAUAUUGCACAAUGGGCGCAAGCCUGAUGCAGCCAUGCCGCGUGUGUGAAGAAGGCCUUCGGGUGGUAAAGCACUUUCAGCGGGGAGGCGUUACUCGAAGAAGAAGCACCGGCUAACUCCGUGCCAGCAGCCGCGGUAAUAC
rnacentral:rRNA from 1 species